GCGUUUCCCCCCCUCGAGACUCACUGAGGCAAUAGAACUUGACCCUGGAAAACAGGUUUCGCCGCUCAUUUGUUGAAUAAUUAACGGAUUCGGAAGCUACAAGGGAUGCCAAAGAAACCAUCAAAAGGACUCAUCAUGUCUCGAAGAUCUGUGGAAAUGCAGCAUAAGAAGGCCAUACCCUUGUCUGUGUGUAGAUCAUCAUCGAUGGAAAAACAGUUUCACAGUCAACAAGCCGCUGCUCACACUGAGACCACUGGGGAUAAAGCAGGCACGGGAUGUGGUCUGCGGUGGAAAUGCUGUGAGUUAGAUGUGAGUGGAGUUUCUGGAGGGGGAGGAUGAAGAAGGGAGGAGUAUAACAAAGAGGAGGAGAUGAAGACAGCAGUUUGGGGAGAUGGAGGAAGAGGAAACAGAGAGGAGGGAAGGAAGGAGAGCAAUUACAGGCUACCGCUGUGGCAAACUUUGAUGUUUGACAGCCAGCCAGCCUGGAGGGAGACAGUGUUGUCACCGUAGCGACCAUGGCGACUUUUGCCAGCAAAGGCAGGGGUUUUGAAGAGCGGAGUGUGGAUGUGGGCCAAUGAGAAGAAGAGGAGGAAUGGAUGAUCAACAUUCCUGUGGAGGAAGAUGUAAAGUGAGA